CGAAAACGAGGUCUUCGCCGGGUGCGGUGGCUCUCGCCUAUAAUCCUAGCACUUUGGGAGGCCGAGGUGGGCGGAUCACGAGGGAAGAAAUGUAACCAUGAUUGAGAAAACAAGAACUCAGGAGGGGAAAGGAAGCAAUCAUGAUCAAUGAGGCAUCUGUCAUCUCAUUGUCUGGAUGUGGUGAUCUGUUGGAAAUUAUAUCAGUAAGAAUGAAGCAUUUCAUUUUUGCCUGGAAGAUCUGAGUCACUUUGCAACAGAGAAGCAGCUUCGGUUACCAACCCAGAUGGAGAGCUGUAGGUAAAGGUUUCUGAACGCAGGAUUUCACAUUCACUUAAUUUCUCAGCUUCUAAAGAAAUAAGACCCCGAGUCCACUUCACAGUCCUGACCUCAUGUCUCAACACAGCCCUACUAGUGUUGAGGCUAUUGAAACAUUGCCUCCUUCCACGAUGAGAUACCAUGUCACACCUAUUAGGAAGGCUAUAAUGAAAACCACAGAUAGCCAGGCAUGGUGGCUUAUGCCUAUAAUCCCAGCACUUUGGGAGGCAGAAGCAGGCAAAUCACUUGAGGCCAGGAGUUCGAGACCAGCCUGGCCAAUGUGGCAAAAUGCCAUCUCUACAAAAAAUACAAAAAUUAGCCGGGCAUGUUGGUACAUGCUUGUAAUCCCAGCUACUUGGGAGGCUGAGACAUGAGAAUUGCUUGAACCCAGGAGGCAGAGGUUGCAGUGAGCCGAGAUCAAGCCACUGCACUCUAGCCUGGGGGGCAGAGUGAGACUCUGUCUCAAAAGAAACAAAC
rnacentral:lncRNA from 1 species